UACUACUCCUAAGACAAAUCGUAUUCUCUUUGCAGUGCAACUGAUAAUGCAGUUUACGCGCGCGAGUCCGUGUAAGUUUCUCUCUCGCGCUCUCCCUCCGUAUGUGUAUUGUUUUUUUACGAGCAGCGAAUCCGUCCUGAGUUUCCAAGCGAAAGUUGCAUGGAGACACCGCGUUAGACGCGUAUAAUAAAGAGGAUGGUGAGCGACGUAAAAGAAAAAGGAGAGCGGGAACAACUCGUGCCAAGACAGACCCUGACCGAUCUUAAGCGAAUAUUGAAGAAUUGUUUAGCCAUAAGAGGUUGAAGAACUGAUGAGCAUUGAAGCUGCGGAGGGGGGUGGGGGGGAUCACUGCAGCGACGGAGGCAAAUCGGAGCCCUUGCAUGGAGCUGGAGAAGCAAAUUUAAUGUACAUUACAUGCACUUCACGUAACGCUCCUGAGCGAUGUCUUUCAAGGGCUUGCAGCACUGGGAAAAGCAAACAAACUUGAGGGAUCCAUCGGCUAAAGGACGGGAGGUGAAACGAAUAACUGAAUUCGCGACGCUCCGUCCAUCCUCUUGAUUGUGACCGUGACGUCACUGCCUUUAACAUUUUCUGAUGACAAGACAUCAAGGCAAAAGAGAGAUGAGGGGCUCAACUGAGUACGUUCCUCGAGGAAGGAGAUGGACAGUUAACAGGAAUGGAAGCUGACAAAGGAAAAGGAGGGAGUCGAUCAAAACAAGAGCGUGGAAAAGGCCUCAGUCGUGAGAACAGUCGAGUUCCUGUAGUUAGUCAUCUGAAUCAGAACAUGCUCAUGGGAGGACAAAGAAAUAAGAAGGAUCCAAACCUGGGAAAACUUGUAACUUGAAGAUUAACCUCAUAUCAGCGACUGUAAUUCUGCUUUACACCUGUUAAUGGAUAUUCAGCAAGUUGAUUAAAUUGUAGGAGGACAAUAACACCUUCAGGUAUUUCAAAUCUCUGUUUGUAAAGGACUUCUUGUAUGAGCUGGACAUUGCUUACGUUGUCAGUUCCAGACGUAUUGUUUUCUGUUUUGUAUAAAUGUAGAGCGAAGGCUUUUUCUUGGGAAUAGAAAAGUGAUAACAUAGUUUUUUGAGGUAAAUAAAGAAAUACAUAAUAAACGUAAACAUAAAAUAACGUACAGAUGAUAUCCUCUUUGCUGUAGGUGUUCACGCCCUGAGUGAAAUUGUGUAGACCAGAUGAUCACGUGAACGCUUGUGUUGGUUUGUUGAGUUUUAAUUUGAAAGACGUGGUAGGACAAGACAAAGGUAAUCUGAUUUAAUCUAAUUUUCUUCUGAGCAUUUCUUUUACCAUUGUAAAUAAUACUCUGUAUGUAUGUCUUAAAAUUGUUGUGCGAGUGCUAAGAACUGCGCGUGUUUUAAGGCUGUUGUAGCAAUCUGCAGCUGUCGCUGUCCACUGCGCGUGGUGCUGAAAUGUGCGCAAACGGGACAAAGAAGCUUAUAACUUCUACUGAAUAAAGCUAAAGUUUCUAGACGUUAUCUCACUGUAUAUGUAUGGUGUAUUGUAUACGUAUAGUAAAGUUGUAUUAGCUUAGUAUUUAAAAACUAUGUUAAGCUGUGGUCUAACAAAAAAUAUGACGUGGUUUUAGGAUAACUAGAUGGUAAACUUCUAAUAUCCACCUUAUUUAAAGUAUCAUAGGGUCAUAGGGGGCUGAGUAAUGGCAAAAAAGGGGGGAAAGAUCAGUAAGUGUCGAGGAGGUUAAACAGGAAUUUAAAUAGGACGAGUGUGUUAAAAUUGAGAGUGACUGAGAGGGUGUGUGUUUGUUUUUGUGAGUGAGAGAGUGUGUGUCUGUGAAGGAAGUAAUGUCGAAAAUUGUAUGUGUACAGUAUGUUAGCACAAAGGCAGUACAAUUAAAAAAAUCCAGAUUUUACGUAUACUAUAAUGUAUAUAAUUAUAAUCGCAAAAUAUAGCCUACUGUGAUUCAAACAUUGACAUUUUAGCGCUCUAUGUGUAUCGGAUUAAUCUAGCUCCACGUGUCUUUUAUUUUCAUGACGUGCUCUUUUUUUCUGCUUUGAUGUUUUUCGUGAUAUAUGCCUGUAUUUAUUUAAAUAUUUAAAUAAUGCAGUGUACUACGUCAGAAUGUAACUGUUUUGAAUUUUAUACUUUAAUGUUGUUCUAUAUGUUUUAUGUAUAGUGCACUGCAGGGACACCGAGAAAAAAUAUCAUUAACUGUUUAAAUCUGACAAAUUGUCUAAUUAUAUCUCUACAUGAAAUUUAUAAUAAUGUGAUAUCAAGUGGCAAAGUGGGUGUACAUUGCAAAAUCCGAAUGAUGGAAGUUUGUCGUUCUUGUGCAUUCUUUACUGACCUUUGAAUUACAAUAUUAUUUUAUAAACAGAUUUCUUCCUUCCCUGACUCAGUGCAAAUAAAAUGUUUUGCAUUAUUUAACAGUCUUGCUUGCUUUUGUUCUGUAUCUGUCUGUUUUUAAUUAAUUGAUGAAGUGUAAAAAAUAAAUGAAAAAAAUAAAU